rnacentral:misc_RNA from 1 species
ACUUUCUUCAUCUUCCUCGUAGAGUUUCCUCGUUCGGAGUCCAUUAAAGUGAAAAACACACUAAGAUUUUCUCGGUUUAUUAACGCACAGUUGCUGGUAUAGAACAACCUGAUCUUUUCAUAAAUCGACUGCUUUUAUAGUUAUCAUACAAUCAAAUACAACUCCUUUUAAAAUUAACAAAUAAAUUAGAUACUGUAAAAUAAUUCUUGAAAUAUAUCUUAAUAUUUAUAAUAAAUGUUUUAACGAAUUUAAAUAAGUUAAAAUGAUUUAUAUAAUAUAAAGGUUACUUAAUUUAAUCUGAACAAACAUUAAUGUGAACAAACAUUAGUAAUGUAAAGAUGGCGCUGCAAGCAAGAUUCGAAAUGAAAUUAAAAAAAGACUUAUUGCAUAAAAUAAUAAAAUUCAGUACAAAAUAAUUAUAUUAAUUAAAAUAGAUAAUAAUUUGAAUAUUUACACAGUAAACUGAGUAAACGGCACGGGUUACGGCUCAGUUGCACACUACUCUCGGAUGUUCCUCUGCUAGUUUGACCGACGAUGCUUUGGUCGGUAAUGGAUGAACACUUUCGGCAAGACUACCAUACAUAUAUACACAAACAUUGUGAUGCGGAAGGUUCCAUAUACCUUACAACAAUAUGUAUACAGCUUUGAGGCGCUAUCACGGCCGCGGGAUCAAUAACGAAAAAAUUGUUCGGCGACGUGCACGAAACUUUGAGCAUUUACGAAAAAUUUCGGCGAAACUGGAAAAUAAUAAUUCAAAAUAAAUAUUGAGAAAUCAUAUUAAAAUAUUCAGUCAAGUCGGUCAGUCUUUAUGUUGAAUCAGGUUUUCUUGUUCUAAAACAAUUUCUGCAUCACUCAACUUCAGUAGUGUGUGUUGUUCAUAGCGUAGUUUACUCGGCGUGUGAACAAAUAGUCGCUGAGAGAUUCAAACUCCUAUCAUAAUCAAACUAUCAUCUUCUAAUCUCGUCACUACCAAAAAUACAGUCAACGAAAACAAUAUCUGCAUCACUCGGCUUCAUUAAUGUGUGUGGCUUACAAACGUCGAACAAAGGUUGCAAGCUUUUUCUUCGUUUAACACAACUUGAAUAAGCGUUCAAGGUUGAAAUGUCAGUACCUCCAAAGACGGUAUUCUCUUGUGCUCUCUGCAACAGUUUUUCAUCAACACAGUUGUUUCUUUUAGGUUGUCUACAAAGAUGCAAAUAAAACCUCGUGGAAACUUGGAAGAAUGAGUCAAAUCCUGCAGCACUUAGUAAACAAAGCGAAAAAGAAGAAUCUCCAGAGAAAUUCCG